rnacentral:rRNA from 1 species
UGGGGAAUAUUGCACAAUGGGGGAAACCCUGAUGCAGCGACGCCGCGUGAACGAAGAAGGUAUUCGUAUCGUAAAGUUCUGUCCUAUGGGAAGAUAAUGACAGUACCAUAGAAGAAAGCUCCGGCUAAAUACGUGCCAGCAGCCGCGGUAAUACGUAUGGAGCGAGCGUUGUCCGGAAUUAUUGGGCGUAAAGGGUACGCAGGCGGUUUAGUAAGUCGAAUGUUAAAGAUCGGGGCUCAACCCCGCAAAGCAUUGGAAACUGAUAAACUUGAGUAGUGGAGAGGAAAGUGGAAUUCCUAGUGUAGUGGUGAAAUACGUAGAUAUUAGGAGGAAUACCAGUAGCGAAGGCGACUUUCUGGACACAAACUGACGCUGAGGUACGAAAGCGUGGGGAGCAAACAGG